GUGGGAGUAUAAUGAACAUAAUAUGAUUGUUUUAUUUAUUCAUUUAUUUUUUUAAAUGGUCCCCAUUUUUUUUAAUAAUACAUUUGUUUAAUGCACAAUAUAGGGCUAAGUUGCACCAGGUCAGGAAAAAACACAUAAGUUGCAUCUGUGUAUAAGACACAUUUUUCUAUUAAUUUCAGAAAUAAAUUAAAUACUGAUAAAUAAAACAAACGUUAAGAAACUUAAAAACUAUAAACACUGUAAAGAUUUUAUUUUCGCUCACUUCAAAUCAUUUAAAUUUAACGCUAUUCAAAACAGAACAAAAAUAAAAAAUAUUUAGGCCUAUGUAUAAAAUAAACAAAUUCUAGAGCCAUUAUUUACAAGCAGUAUUUCUUUUGUUAAAUAAAGAAAACAAACAAAAUGCACUUGCUAUCUCAGUUUCUGUGAACCUCAUGCUGAAAAUUUAGAAAACACAGUGGUACAGACAAUACCACUGUGUACAGACAGACUUGUCACACAGACAUGAGAACUAUAGAAACCUGUAAGUGCCUGCUUUUAAGUGUUUACGGUUUGCUUAGGCUUUUUGACAUUACAACCAUUAUAUAAAAGUUACUUUGGAAUAAUUCAGCACAUCUCAGAAGAUUAAAAAAUAUGACUUGUAGUCUGGAAAAUAUGGUAUAAAUUAUUUUGUGGACCCCUUUGCUUUGGUCCUGAACCCCAGAUUGAAAACCCUUGCAUUGUAGCAUAUUGUGUGUUUUUUUUCAUUAUUAUUAUUGUGCAUGCAGAUAAUAUUCGGGCACAUGAACACCUGACUAUUGCAUGAAUGAAGAAUACCAUCUUUAAGAAUUUUAUGCUAAUUGCAGUUGAAAUAAAAAUGAAAAAGCUUUAAAAGUUCAGCUCCAGCAGGUCCUGGAACUGCAGUUGUUGCUAACGGCGCGAUAUGAGAAACACCUCCACAUGUGCCCAGCGGAGAUGUUGUGCGUUUAUGCAAAAUAUUGGUCUCUUCCCUUUUUUCCCCUUUAGGCUGAAUUCCUUCCAAACGCCGUAGAAGGCCACUGCCUGCAUUACCCGCCGGGUGUUCUCCCCAGGGUUUGGACCUCCAACGAGGCUUAAAUGAUGUGUCUGCAAGAUGGAAUACAUUUUCUAAAUAGGAGAGGAGUUCAUUGAUGGUGCCACACACUUCAAGGCUCAUCUCCUCUGCUUGCUGGCAAGUCCCAUCACCCAGGGCACGAGCAUAAAGUUCAUGCAUGGCUGCUAUUGUGCUCCUCAUUGCCUUCAUCUCACUCUCUAUGCUUACUAUUUUUUGAAUGAGGAGGCUAAGGAGGUGAUCUGAGGAGAAUCAAUAUUGAUUCGUUAAAAUUAAGGACCUGGUUUAACCAGCAGUGGAGAGAGUCAUGAAGGAGAAUCACCAAAUAACACUGACAGCGAAGGGUGUCUCUGGGUGGAGUUGGCCUUAUUGGCACAUCAGGCAUGGGAAGCUCUCCACAUCUUGAUGGCAUCUUUAUUGAUUGAUUGAAGGUGGUUUGCUUGUUAGGUUCAUACCUUCAUAAGAGCUGCUGAGACACACCGGUCGUCUUUUCCUUUUGGGGGUGUCAUCACAGCUCUCAAGUGAAGAUUGCACAGCUGCUUUUUUCGACCACUUUUUUGCUCUUUCAUAGUCAUCUUAAGCAAAAAUAUGGCACCAAUCAAAAAUGACAUGCAUGGGUUGUCGAACAGUGGCUCAGGUUUACUGUAAACACGGCAAAGCACUCUUUGUUCCUUGUCAGCCACUUGCAGGACUUCACAGCAUUGACCACCACUGAGGACAUAUGCACUUGGGUCUUGGGUCUUUGUAGAGAUUUUGUCCACAGUUGUUGUUUUUUUCUGUUCGAUUUUCUCUUCCAGCCUCCUAGCAACCUGAAUCAGUGGGUUUCUACCAGAACGCACCAUCCUCUUGAGUGUUUGCAGGUAGUUUUCAAACAUGAAGGCACUACAAUUUUCCAGACCACCGAAGUUUUCGGCAUCUUUUGCUAUGUGCAGCAUGGCAUGUGUGUUGUAAACAAGGAACUCUUGUCCAUAAAGAAUCCGACCUUUUCCACAAAAUAAUGCAGCAGUUCAUCUGCAUAUUUCGAGUGUUCCUGCACAAGACUUGGACAUACCAAGAUUAUCAUGGCCACGCUAAAGGAAAGGAAGUGCAAAUACAUUUCAUCAGGCAGUAUUCCCUUCAACACAAUCUUCCCAGUGUAAAGAAGGAACUGACGAAACUCAGUCGCUUUCCACCUGUCCAGUUCCUCAAGACCUCUAGGCUUUCGCACAAAAGUAGAUGGGAUGCAUUUCCGAAGAGACCGCAGUCUUGCACUAAUCUCUGUGAUUUGGCUGGCUGAAACACUCACAACUCUGUCUCCUCUGGUCCAGAUGUGCAGGAGUCUUUUCAUUACACCUAGACAAGCCUGGUGCAUGUAAUCAAUGGGAAAACUCUGCACCAUGUCUAUGGGGAGGUGAGACAGAGUGAAUCCCAUGAUUCAUCAGAUGAGCCAGUUCCCUUACUGUGUCUUCCAAAAAGCCAAGAUCUGUUGGUCGACUUAGACUGCUUGUCAGAGCCGUGGGGAAAAUGGUGACAGGGUCUAACAUGACUGCACAAAGAACUGGCCACAUACAUGUUUUGGAACUCUUGUACAGUGGUGGCAGUACCAACGAUGUUUCGUCCAGCAUUAAAUUACUGCAGAAGAAGAAUACCGCCAACGUGACGCGGAUAUUAUAUCUUAAUGGAGGAAUAAACCUGAAACAGCACUUCCAAGAACUUCUUGAUUGUCGUUUAUGGAUUCCUCAUGAAAUUUGGGAUUGUCGGUUUGGAUGGACCAGGAGUUGGUGUCACUGGAAAAACUCUCAUGGUGGCCCGCUGAUGACUGAGGAUAGAUGUGCCUUGCUGCUUUUCGAAAAGGACUUCUGUCCUGAUGUUUGGCUGUGGUCCCCCCAUCAUCCACUCUUUGGCAACAAGUCUUUGUAUGCAGACCACCAUGAUCUAAUCUAUACAGACCUAGUUGUCUCUUCUCCCACAAACUCCACUUUCAGGUAUGUUUUUUCUUUGCUGUUGUUGUUGUUUUUUCAACAACAUGUAUUUUUCUAUGCCAAAACCUAGGGCUGUACAAUACUGAUGAAAAAUGCAUUAUGCGAUUGCAAUAAGUUAAUAACAUAUAACUUAAGUACUAACUUAUAAUAUUCAAUAAUGCUUAAAGUGUGUAAAAUAAACUUAAAUAAUAUGUAGGUAUAUUUAUAAUCUAAAACUCCAUAACUCACGUUAAUGUUUCACAUUCUUUUUGUGAGAAUUACAUAAAAAGUGCCUUUUUAACAAGUGUAAAACCAGGGGGUUAAGGGUUUCAGGAAGGUCUAGAUCAGGUUUAAUUAACAGCAAAAACUAACUAAUUAAAUGUAAAAAUUAAACACUGCUUAGUCUUCACCAUAUGAAUUAAAUAUACACUGAUUCUUAUUAAAGUCCCCCUCUAGUCAAAUAUUAAAACCUAUCUUUGAUCAUCAAAAUGACAUUUAAAAAAAGUAUUCUUGUGAAAAUAAUCUUCUCAUGCCUUAAAAUAGCUUAAAUUUAACUCUACACCCUUGCCACAUUUACUAUAUGCUGAUCGAUGAAGAUGCAAAUUAGCCCCACCACCACUCGCACCAGCUAGCGCCUCCUGAUCCACUGAAUUGUAGUAAACGCAAAACAAUGGCAUACAUGGUUAAUGACUGAUAAAACAAUGUUUUUACUAGCAGGCAACUACGGUGAAGUUACUUGAUGUUGUGUCCUAAAAUGCCUUGAAGACUCAAAUGCAGCCUUUUGUGAUUCUUAAUUUGCGCCUGCGAUUAUACGCAUGUGAAGUGCAGAUGCUGAUGCGGAGGAGGUGGGUGGUGCGUCUUGACUCUGGGCUACUUUUACACUGUUGCCACGGGUUAUAAUGCAAGUUAACCGCAUCUACUUACAGAUAUGAGUCUCAAUGUUCUCCACACAACAGCUUACAAUAGUGUUUCAAAUGCUGUCUGUAUGCAUAGGGAUCUGAAGUCGAGCAGUAUUCUAUUUGUGAUUAUUACCUCUUACUAUAGCAAAGGUGAGUAAAGUAUUAUCAAAUAUUGCCAUACUACUAAAAGUCUUAUCACAAUUGACACGACGAGUCCAGUCAAGGCAUGACUUCAUCUGUUAAAUCUGAACCAGCAGCAUCUUUUAUAACUGGAGUAGAUUGGAUUAUUUGAGUCACACACAGAGCACAAAAAGGAGCAGAGAAAGUACUUAAAUUUUGUUUGUGCUAUGCCCUGUCAGAUGCUUCGACAGAUGUGUGUGGAUUUGAGUCAUGUUUCUCCAGAGCUUAACUUACAUUUGAUGUUUGUGUCUUUGUCUAAUUUUGGAAGUAAUUGAAGAGAAAAGGAGCGCAAUAAUUUUGACUAAAAUGUAUAUUUUGCUAAAAUAUUUAUUUUAAAUGGUAAAUUGAUAUUCUUAAUAGUUUUUUAUUUUCCAGGAGUACCUUUUACAAAGGUGUCACCAUGAGCUCCCGACCUCCUGACCUCUCCGUGGCUGAGCUGUAUUAGGACUUUGUCAGAACUACAUCUUUUUUGGUCACCACAAUCUGGAUGUGUUCAGUGAGGAUUCAUCGGUGGAUUUCACCUUUGGAAAAGUUUAGGCUGGGAGUGUGUUGUCAUACCAGCAGAAACAAGCUGCAUCAUUACUCACAUCAAGAUGUCCCAUCACCACCACAUCUACCACUUAUUGGUUACAGCCUUGGCACAUCUGUCUGCUUGUUUGUCCAUAGUGAACAUAGUUUUUUAUUUGUAUGUAACCAACACACUUGUACAGGAAAUCUUUAACACCUAAUUAAAGUACUUAUACAUGUUUACACGUUUACAUUAUUAUAGUGCAGGUAACAAAAUAAUUAAAUUUACAUUAUCUACAUUUAUAAAUAAAUGUAUCCAUUUACAAUUUCUAUACUAAAUAUUAUUUUAAUUAAUAUAUUCAGGUGUUCUGUUGUAUUUUUGUAAAGAUUGUGAGUAGCCAAGGGUAUAAAGGGAAUAAAAAAGUGGCGGGACUGUACAAAUCCCAGUAAUCCCAAUCCCAAAUUAAAUGAUUUGUUUCUAUUUCUGGCAUAGUCCAAUUUUUAGUAUAGUUCCAUAGUCCCAUAGGCAUAGUCCCAUAUUUCAAUUUAAAAUAACUGUUUUCUAUGUGAAUAUAUUUUAAAUAUUAUAGCAGUCUAAUAAUAAAAUAAAAGUAGUCUUAAUAAUAAAAAUCAGAAACACUUAUAAUAAAAACGGGAGAGAGAGAGUUAUCUGAGAC
ensembl:lncRNA